rnacentral:rRNA from 1 species
UACGUAGGGUGCAAGCGUUGUCCGGAAUUAUUGGGCGUAAAGAGCUCGUAGGCGGUUUGUCGCGUCUGCUGUGAAAAUCCGGGGCUCAACCCCGGACUUGCAGUGGGUACGGGCAGACUGGAGUGUGGUAGGGGAGACUGGAAUUCCUGGUGUAGCGGUGAAAUGCGCAGAUAUCGGGAGGAACACCAAUGGCGAAGGCAGCUCGCUGGGACGUUACUGACGCUGAGACGCGAAAGCCAGGGGAGCGAACGGG